rnacentral:rRNA from 1 species
GACGAACGCUGGCGGCGUGCUUAACACAUGCAAGUCGAGCGGUAAGGCCCUUCGGGGUACACGAGCGGCGAACGGGUGAGUAACACGUGGGUGAUCUGCCUUGCACUCUGGGAUAAGCCUGGGAAACUGGGUCUAAUACCGGAUAUGACCUGCAGUUGCAUGACUGUGGGUGGAAAGAUUUAUCGGUGCGAGAUGAGCCCGCGGCCUAUCAGCUUGUUGGUGGGGUAAUGGCCUACCAAGGCGACGACGGGUAGCCGGCCUGAGAGGGCGACCGGCCACACUGGGACUGAGACACGGCCCAGACUCCUACGGGAGGCAGCAGUGGGGAAUAUUGCACAAUGGGCGGAAGCCUGAUGCAGCGACGCCGCGUGAGGGAUGACGGCCUUCGGGUUGUAAACCUCUUUCGACUCCGACGAAGCGAAAGUGACGGUAGGAGUAUAAGAAGCACCGGCCAACUACGUG